CCUACGGGUGGCAGCAGUGGGGGAUAUUGCACAAUGGGGGAAACCCUGAUGCAGCGACGCCGCGUGUGGGAAGACGGUCCUCUGGUUUUUAAGCCAUUGUCUACAGGGACGAAGAUGACGGUACCUGAGGAGGAAGACCCGGCUAACUACGUGCCAGCAGCCGCGGUAAUACGUAGGGAGCGAGCGGUGUCCGGAAUUACUGGGUGUAAAGGGAGCGUAGGCGGGGAGGCAAGUUGGGUGUUAAAACUACCGGCUCAACUGGUAGUCGCACUCAAAACUGAAGCUCUUGAGUGAAGUAGAGGCAGGCGGAAUUCCUAGUGUAGCGGUGAAAUGCGUAGAUAUUAGGAGGAACUCCAGUGGCGAAGGCGGCCUGCUGGGCUUUUACUGACGCUGAGGCUCGAAAGUGUGGGGAGCAAACAGGAUUAGAUACCCUAGUAGUC
rnacentral:rRNA from 1 species